GCGAAGAACCUUACCAGGUCUUGACAUCCUUUGACAACCCUAGAGAUAGGGCUUUCCCUUCGGGGACAGAGUGACAGGUGGUGCAUGGUUGUUGUCAGCUCGUGUCGUGAGAUGUUGGGUUAAGUCCCGCAACGAGCGCAACCCUUGAUUUUAGUUGCCAGCAUUCAGUUGGGCACUUUAAGGGGACUGCCGGUGACAAACCGGAGGAAGGUGGGGAUGACGUCAAAUCAUCAUGCCCCUUAUGACCUGGGGUACACACGUGGUACAAUGGACAGAACAAAGGGGUGCAAGACCGCAAGGUUUAGCCAAUCCCACAAAUCUGUUCUCAGUUCGGAUCGCAGUCUGCAACUCGACUGCGUGAAG
rnacentral:rRNA from 1 species